CGUGUGAAAAGACUGGCCUGGGAGCUGAUAGCAAGGAGCUUGGCUGUGUGGGACUAUGCAGGAGAUGUUUCAGGCUAUUUGGAAGGAAGUUGGUUCCCGUACCGGUCUCAAGUUUACCUUGCAGUUUCUUUUCUCGGACCCACACACUUCUCUCUGACCCAAGGAGUGGGAAGGCUGGCCCCUUUGAAACCUCUUUCUGCAAACAGAUAAGCCUGACUGUGUUUUGUUUUGCUUUCAGCUGAACCAAACACAUGGAAUCUGGAGGUUAAAAGACUGCCAAGAAGUCAAGGGGAGAGAGAAAUGAGGAUGGAAAAGGAAACUCUGCUGUUCUGUGGCCUUUGGGGCUUUGACCUCGUCUGGAAGCCAUAAACACUGCUCUCAGCCCAUCGCCUGAAUUCUGAGGUUCAGCCGUCUGCCACACACUCUCUGGGUGACCUUGACCACAAUCAUCUCCUGUGGAUUCCCAGUGGCACCUGUCUGGCUCAAGCCCCUGCUCUGCCUACAGAGCUGCAUAUACAGCUGCCUCUAGAACAUUUCUAUCUGGUGGCUCCCUUU
rnacentral:lncRNA from 1 species